rnacentral:rRNA from 1 species
AUGGCUUUGUACAAAAAGGCGGGCCAGCCAGAGAAAAUCCCCUCCACAUUUGAAGAAAUGCGAGAAAGUGGUAUAACUGCUAACAGUUUUACAUACUUCACAUUGUUAGAAAGCUAUGUUACAAUGAAUGACCUGGAGGCUGCGGAGAAAGUCCUGGAAGAAUUGCAGAAGGUGGCUCCAGUUCACUGGUCCCUAUAUACUCUAAUGGCAAACAGUUAUAUUAAACUAGAGCUGUGUGGAAAGGCAGAAGUUGCCCUAAAGAAAGCUGAGGAAGUUAUGAACAAAGAUGAGUUAUCCUCAUGGUAUUUCCUCCUCUCCAUCUAUGCCCGUUGUGGAAAUGCAACUGAGGUUAAGAGGAUUUGGGAGUCUUUGAAGUCCACAUUCAAGAAAUGUUUGAACAGAAGCUAUCUUGUGGUGCUUCAAGCUCUGAGUACUAUUGAUGACUUUGAGUCUUUACAGCAAAUCUUUCAGGAGUGGGAAUCGAGUCAUGAACAAUAUGACAUGAGGAUAACAAAUGUUAUGAUCAAAGCUUACCUUGAUAAGGGUAUGAUAGACGAAGCUGAGGCUAUCCGUCAGAGGACCAUGGCUAAGGGUCGUUGUGAUGACAGGACAAUUUACAUAUUUGCCGAAUUCUAUUUGGAAAAAUCUAAUUUUACCGGGGCACUGGAGAUCUUGAGAGAUGCAAAGAAGAUGGUGACGGCACACAAAUGGGUGCCAUCCAAAAAGCUUACAAGCAGAUUUCUGAAGCACUAUGAAGAGUCAAAUGAUGUUGACGGCGUGGAGUCUUUCUGCGAGUGCCUGAGGAAGCUCGAAUGCCUUGAUACGGAAGCUUAUGAGGGCAUGAUGCGGACCUAUAUAGCUGCAGGUAGAACCAACCCAUCCAUUGCUCAGCGUAUCGAAGAUGAUGGGAUUCACGUUGGACCUGAGACUACGAAAUUGCUGGAGCGUGUCUCCGGCAAU